rnacentral:pre_miRNA from 1 species
CGAUGAAGAUGAUGAUGAUGAUGAUGAUGAUGAUGAUGAUGAGAAGGAUGAUAAUGAUGAUGAUGAUAAUCAUCAUCAUCAUCAUCAUCAGAUAUA